AGCAGCCGCGGUAAUUCCAGCUCCAAUAGCGUAUAUUAAAGUUGUUGCAGUUAAAAAGCUCGUAGUUGAAUUUCGGGGUUAGUAGGUUGGUCAUGCCUCUGGUAUGUACUGGUCUCACUAAUUCCUCCUUCCUGAUGAACCUUAAUGCCAUUAAUUUGGUGUUUUGGGGAAUUUGGACUGUUACUUUGAAAAAAUUAGAGUGUUUAAAGCAAGCUAACGCUUGAAUACAUUAGCAUGGAAUAAUGAAAUAGGACGUUCGAUCCUAUUUUGUUGGUUUCUAGGAUUGACGUAAUGAUUAAUAGGGAUAGUUGGGGGCAUUAGUAUUCAAUCGUCAGAGGUGAAAUUCUUGGAUUUAUUGAAGACUAACUACUGCGAAAGCAUUUGCCAAGGAUGUUUUCAUUAAUCAAGAACGAAAGUUAGGGGAUCGAAGACGAUCAGAUACCGUCGUAGUCUUAACCAUAAACUAUGCCGACUAGGGAUCGGAUGAUGUUAAUUUUUUAAUGACUCA
rnacentral:rRNA from 1 species